GACGAACGCUGGCGGCGUGCUUAACACAUGCAAGUCGAACGGAGAGGCCCUGCUUUUGUGGGGUGCUCGAGUGGCGAACGGGUGAGUAACACGUGAGUAACCUGCCCUUGACUUUGGGAUAACUUCAGGAAACUGGGGCUAAUACCGGAUAGGAGCUCCUGCUGCAUGGUGGGGGUUGGAAAGUUUCGGCGGUUGGGGAUGGACUCGCGGCUUAUCAGCUUGUUGGUGGGGUAGUGGCUUACCAAGGCUUUGACGGGUAGCCGGCCUGAGAGGGUGACCGGCCACAUUGGGACUGAGAUACGGCCCAGACUCCUACGGGAGGCAGCAGUGGGGAAUACUGCACAAUGGGCGGAAGCCUGAUGCAGCAACGCCGCGUGCGGGAUGACGGCCUUCGGGUUGUAAACCGCUUUCGCCUGUGGCGAAGCGUGAGUGACGGUAAUGGGUAAAGAAGCACCGGCUAACUACGUG
rnacentral:rRNA from 1 species